rnacentral:rRNA from 1 species
ACCGGCGCACGGGUGCGUAACGCGUAUGCAAUCUACCUCAUACAGAGGGAUAGCCCGAAGAAAUUUGGAUUAACACCACAUAGUAUUAUUAUUUCGCAUGGGAUAAUAAUUAAAGGAUACGGUAUGAGAUGAGCAUGCGUCUUAUUAGCUAGUUGGUAUGGUAACGGCAUACCAAGGCAACGAUAAGUAGGGGUCCUGAGAGGGAGAUCCCCCACACUGGUACUGAGACACGGACCAGACUCCUACGGGAGGCAGCAGUGAGGAAUAUUGGACAAUGGGGGGAACCCUGAUCCAGCCAUGCCGCGUGCAGGAAGGCUGCCCUAUGGGUUGUAAACUGCUUUUAUACGGGAAGAAUAAGGGGUAUGUAUACCUUGAUGACGGUACCGUAUGAAUAAGCAUCGGCUAACUCCGUGCCAGCAGCCGCGGUAAUACGGAGGAUGCGAGCGUUAUCCGGAAUCAUUGGGUUUAAAGGGUCCGUAGGUGGAUAAAUAAGUCAGGGGUGAAAGUCUGUCGCUCAACGAUAGAAUUGCCUUUGAUACUGUUUAU